AAUUCGAUUAGUUUGAUCAUGGCUCAGGACGAACGCUGGCGGCGUGCUUAACACAUGCAAGUCGAGCGACGCACUCUUUCGGGGGUGACGGAGCGGCGAACGGGUGAGUAACACGUGGGCAACCUGCCCUCAGCUCUGGGACAACUCCGGGAAACCGGGGCUAAUACCGGAUACGACAUCGGAUCGCAUGGUCUGGUGUGGAAAGUUUUUCGGCUGGGGAUGGGCCCGCGGCCUAUCAGCUUGUUGGUGGGGUGAAGGCCUACCAAGGCGACGACGGGUAGCCGGCCUGAGAGGGCGACCGGCCACACUGGGACUGAGACACGGCCCAGACUCCUACGGGAGGCAGCAGUGGGGAAUAUUGCGCAAUGGGCGAAAGCCUGACGCAGCGACGCCGCGUGGGGGAUGAAGGCCUUCGGGUUGUAAACCUCUUUCAGCAGGGACGAAUUCAGACGGUACCUGCAGAAGAAGCACCGGCCAACUACGUGCCAGCAGCCGCGGUAAUACGUAGGGUGCAAGCGUUGUCCGGAAUUAUUGGGCGUAAAGAGCUCGUAGGCGGUUUGUCGCGUCGGCUGUGAAAACUUGGGGCUCAACCCCAAGCCUGCAGUCGAUACGGGCAGACUAGAGUGCGGUAGGGGAGACUGNAAUUCCUGGUGUAGCGGUGAAAUGCGCAGAUAUCAGGAGG
rnacentral:rRNA from 1 species